AGAGUUUGAUCAUGGCUCAGAACGAACGCUGGCGGCAUGCCUAACACAUGCAAGUCGAACGUGAUCCGGGGCUUGCUCCGGUGAAAGUGGCGGACGGGUGAGUAACGCGUGGGAACCUGCCCAGUGGUCGGGGAUAACUGCGGGAAACUGCAGCUAAUACCCGGUAAGCCCUACGGGGGAAAGAUUUAUCGCCAUUGGAGGGGCCCGCGUCGGAUUAGGUAGUUGGUGGGGUAAAGGCCUACCAAGCCUUCGAUCCGUAGCUGGUCUGAGAGGAUGAUCAGCCACACUGGGACUGAGAUACGGCCCAGACUCCUACGGGAGGCAGCAGUGGGGAAUAUUGGACAAUGGGCGCAAGCCUGAUCCAGCAAUGCCGCGUGAGUGAAGAAGGCCUUAGGGUUGUAAAGCUCUUUCGGCGGGGACGAUGAUGACGGUACCCGCAGAAGAAGCCCCGGCUAACUCCGUGCCAGCAGCCGCGGUAAUACGGAGGGGGCUAGCGUUGUUCGGAAUUACUGGGCGUAAAGGGCGCGUAGGCGGCGCGAUAAGUUGGGCGUGAAAGGCCCGGGCUCAACCCGGGGACUGCGCUUGAUACUGUCGCGCUGUGAGUCCGGGAGAGGAUGGCGGAAUUCCCAGUGUAGAGGUGAAAUUCGUAGAUAUUGGGAAGAACACCGGGCGAAGGCGGCCAUCUGGACCGGCACUGACGCUGAGGCGCGAAAGCGUGGGGAGCAAACAGGAUUAGAUACCCUAGUAGUCC
rnacentral:rRNA from 1 species